UACGUAGGGGGCUAGCGUUGUCCGGAAUCAUUGGGCGUAAAGAGCGUGUAGGCGGCUCGGUAAGUCCGCUGUGAAAGUCCAGGGCUCAACCCUGGAAAGCCGGUGGAAACUGUCGAGCUAGAGUCCGGAAGAGGCGAGUGGAAUUCCCGGUGUAGCGGUGAAAUGCGCAGAUAUCGGGAGGAACACCAAUGGCGAAGGCAGCUCGCUGGGACGGUACUGACGCUGAGACGCGAAAGCGUGGGGAGCAAACAGG
rnacentral:rRNA from 1 species